ensembl:lncRNA
CUGUGAUAUGCUGCUUAGAGCUCGCUCUCCACCAACCAAAACACAUUUUGUUUCCAAUCAAUAUUUUAUUUACUGCAUGCGUUCAUAUUAUGACAACAUGCUCUUCAAAACAAAACAAAAAGACAAAAACAGCAAAGAUUUAAAAAUAAAUGGCAUGAUCAUGUAUUAAAAACAAAGUAAGAGGUUCGACUAAAAAGCACACAGAUUUAUAGGGAGAACUUUGAAAGCAGAAACAGGAAUAGUGUCGAGGUGAAUGAGGGAGGGGGUGAAUAUGCUUUACAAAGUGAUUCAAUGUUAAAGUAUUUUAGUGUUCUGAAGGGCUUUAAGCCAAUUAGAGUAAGAAGAUAAACCUAUUUCAAAAUGAUUUGAUUUGUUUCAUUGUAAAGUUUUAAUUAGAAAGUCCUGUGUGUGUGUGUAUUGAGGUGUGUGUGUGUGUGUCUGUGUAUUGAGGUGUGUGUGUGUGUGUAUUGAGGUGUGUGUGUGCGUGUCUGUGUAUUGAGGUGUGUGUGUGUGUGUGUGUGUAUUGAGGUGUGUGUGUGUGUGUCUGUGUAUUGAGGUGUGUGUGUGUGUGUAUUGAGGUGUGUGUGUGUGUAUUGAGGUGUGUGUGUGUGUAUUGAGGUGUGUGUGUGCGUGUGCGUGUAUUGAGGUGUGUGUGUGUGUAUUGAGGUGUGUGUGUGCGUGCACACGCCCAUGUGUUUUCUUUCUCAGCGACACAGGUAAAAGGAGAAUAGUGAUUUUGAUUGGCAUAUCAUUUCAUAAAACAACAUUUACAUAUUAAUGAUACAACAUACAUGAUACAGUAAUAAGGAGUAAAAAUUAUAGUGAUAAAACAAGAAAUAACAUAAAAAAAGGAGCAUUAUUUGUUACAAAAUGAAGCUACAUAGUAACACGUAAUCAGCUUCUAUACCAGUUGGAACCAGUUGGAACCAGUUGAAACCAGUUGGAACCAGUUGAAACCAGUUGGAACCAGUUGGAAACACCAUCAGAGCAUUAAGCAGUCCGUAUAUACAGUGCUAAACUACACCUACUAUGCUGGUGUCACUAUAAAGGCUGGCUGGUGCAUUAUAAAUAAGCUAAAACAGUACACUGUACUCAUGUAUGGCAAAAUCAUAUUGGUAAUACAGUAUAAUACUAUAUGUUUAUAUUGUGUCAUCUUCAAUUAAGUAUAUUCAUUUGAUUAUUUGUUUUUGAAUUUAGAUUUCUUAUGACAUGACAGGUCAGGUAAGAUUUAACACAUACUGGUCAGAGGGAUAUUGUGUCAAUACAUCUGUUUCAACCAACCAGGGGCCUGUAUUUGUGAUCAAAGAUAUUUUUUUUGGACAUCGACAAUGGGAACUUGAUCCUAGAUCAGCACUCCUACCCUGAGAACUGAUCCUAGACCAGCACUCCUAUCCUGAGACCUGAUCCUAGCUCAGCACUCCAACUCUAAGGCGAUUUCUGAAAACGGGCCCAGGUCUCUGUAUUGGAGAGAGAUGGUGCAUUCUGAACUUGAGAUGGGAAUAGGUAUUUUGUUAACUUGAGAUAUUCAGAUACCAGAUAAUAUCCAAAGGGGUCCUUCAUCACGUAGUAAUACAUGUAUAUACUAAAUUCUGUAUUACAUGACAUAUGAGGAACACAAUCAAUGUUGUUUCAAAGAGGACAGUGGUCAGUGAGUAAGGAAAAGAUAUCACUACAAAAAGUAUAGGCUAAUAACAGAGUACAUGUGAAGAGGUGUGUUUUCCAGAGGAGAUACUUAUAAACAUGGCUGAAGGGAAAGGGUGUUGUUUCCCGUCAGGGAGGGGAAGACGAAAAGCGUUACACAUAUUCAGAGCAAUGAAUGGAAAGGCUAGAAUAAUACAAUACUCCAGUGUAUAAAUCCAUCACUCUUUCAGUAGGCUGCCAGCGUGGCUUCUGGCCAAACCGUUUUCUCCUUCAGUUACACAAGGCCAUGUCACAAAAUGGCCACCUUUUGUUAGUUUAAAUAAAUAGGAUUUUAAACACUCUGUGGCUCAAACAUGAACAGCAUUCAAUCAAUCAGCAUUCAAUCAAGUCCAUGAGCUGCUUCUGUCUUGAGAUAAGCCAACCUUCUUGUAGAGAAAGAUAAGGCACCAGCGGUUUAAAAAACACCAUUCAGAUGUUGAUAUUUGUGUGGGUUAUCAACAUCAUCAUCGAGAGCAGAAAGAAAUCGCCAAUCUUCUACAAUUCAAGCAUAUAAAUUUAACAUACAUGUAGCUAAGAAAGUACUUUGUCUAAAACACAAAUGUAGUAUUUGCUAGUGGUCCAGUGAGUGAGUUACCGUGUACUAAGUUUCCAGUGGGCAAGUUACAGUGUACUAAGUAUUUUCAUUGUUCUUCAAACAUAUAGUCAGUGUUGGACCUGAACAAUGGAUGCAGUUAUCAGCUGCUGAGAUCAUACAGUGUUCCAGAUCAUACAGUGUUCCAGAUCAUACAGUGUUCCAGAUCAUACAGUGUUCCAGAUCAUACAGUGUAUAUACAGUGUUCCAGAUCAUACAGUGUUCCAGAUCAUACAGUGUAUAUACAGUGUUCCAGAUCAUACAGUGUUCCAGAUCAUACAGUGUUCCAGAUCAUACAGUGUUCCAGAUCAUACAGUGUAUAUACAGUGUUCCAGAUCAUACAGUGUUCCAGAUCAUACAGUGUAUAUACAGUGUUCCAGAUCAUACAGUGUUCCAGAUCAUACAGUGUUCCAGAUCAUACAGUGUAUAUACAGUGUUCCAGAUCAUACAGUGUUCCAGAUCAUACAGUGUUCCAGAUCAUACAGUGUAUAUACAGUGUUCCAGAUCAUACAGUGUUCCAGAUCAUACAGUGCAUACACAGUGUUCCAGAUCGUACAGUGUAUAUACAGUGUUCCAUCCAGUCAUAUAAUUAGAAUUAUUCUAACUCUAUGGUUCCAGUACAGUGUUCCAGAUUAUACAGUGUAGCUGUGCUGCUGAGAUCAUACAUUGCAGAGCCAUACUGUGUAUUUAGAAAGAUAUGGUUCUUAUACAGUGUACAGUGUUUAUCCUCAGCAUUGUGCAAUGUUCCCAGUUAUCUGAGUUGAUAUCCAGUCUUAUCAUGGCGAGUCAUUCCUUGUAGAUAUAAAAUGUAUUUACUCCUGUGAAUCAAUGCAUUUAAAAUUCAAAUGUGUUUCUUUAUAUAACAUUGGCCUUCGUGGAUCAGCUAGCUACCUAUAUAGAUCCAUCAUCACCAAAAACAAGCUGAUGUAGCUGAAAUCACAUUACAGCGACCAGUAGCUUAUCUGUUACGCCACAUUUAUGCACUACGUACGCAGUGCAAGUAGUGCACUAUAUAGGGAAUAGGGUUCUAUAGGGCUCUGGUCUAAAGUAGUGCACUAUAUAGGGAAUAGGGUUCUAUAGGGCUCUGGUCUAAAGUAGUGCACUAUAUAGGGAAUAUGGUUCUAUAGGGCUCUGAUCUAAAUUAGUGCACUAUAUAUAGGGAAUACGGUUCUAUAGGGCUCUGGUCAACAUUAGUGUACUAUAUAUAGGGAAUAGGGUUCUAUAGGGCUCUGGUCUAAAGUAGUGUACUAUAUAGGGAAUAUGGUUCUAUAGGGCUCUGAUCUAAAGUAGUGCACUAUAUAGGGAAUAGGGUUCUAUAGGG